AAUCAUGUUGGUUGCCUGGUGGGAAUGAUUGGGUCGGAAAUACCCACUUUUUCAGAUUGGGCCAAAAAGCCCAAGCCCCAUAUUAAGUGAGAAAAGUGCUGGGGUUUCUCCAAGAAGCUUUGAGGGUGAAGGCUGAAAAAAGAGGCCACAUUCCUUCGAUUCUUCCGAUAGAGAGCGAUGGGGAACAAGACAAAGGAGGGGAAUAGCCGUCCUCUGAUACUAAACCUGAUUGUAAUAAUUGGGUAUGGGUUUCUCGCAUACGUGAUGUGGCCUGACAUUAAAGAGCAGAUUCAUAACAUGAAAAAUUCUGGGGUGGAGGGAUAUGCUGUUGUUAUUUCCUCUUUAUUUGCGAUUAUUCUGCUCGUUGUAAUGCUUUGUUUCAUUGAUGUACUCAAACGAAUCAUGAAAUGAAAGGAACAGUGUUCUACACUGUACCAUUUCUAUGAA